rnacentral:tRNA from 1 species
GCCCCGGUGGCUUAGGGGUAGAGCAGCAGCCUCGUAAGUUGCGGGUCGCGGGUUCAAAUCCCGCCCGGGGCU